rnacentral:lncRNA from 1 species
AAUCAACCUGUUGUCACCAUAACCAAAUUGCAUGUGACACAGUGUAGCAGCAAUCCUUGCCAUUCAAUAGUGGAAAAUUGCAAGCACAUUUUAUUGAUUGGUUGAUUUGAUUCUUUAUUGAUUUAUCACAAUACAUGUGAUGGGAGGUGAAGGGAAAAGCCAUUCAAGGAUGGCUUGAGGGAGUCCUUUGCCCCCGUACUGGCAAAGACAGCAGCAGAGGCACAAGCAUUUUGUUUAGUACAUUGUCCUACACUUUGACAAACCAUCAUAUUAAACACAACACUGUCAUACAACUUUGACGAAACCACUAGUGAUUAAACAAAUCACUAGUUAUUGCCCUACACACAGCGCUAUGCAUUAUUAGCAUGCAUCACUUCACAUCAGCAUCAUACACCAGCACAACACUUCAUUACCAUGCCCGCAUUGUAAUAGUGGCAUUUAAGAAUAUCAUUAAAUACAAAUCAAUGACAGCUUUGAAAACCAAAGAGACCUCGUUCACAAAGUACGUCAGUUGGAAUAUGUCAUGACAAUACCACAG